AAUAACUGUAACGGGAAUCAGUUGAAGAUUUUGGUUUCUCUCUCUUAUCAUUGCUCUCUCUCUAGCUGUUAUCUCUCUCGCGCAUUGCAUUUAGUUCUCUCUAGCAGUUAACUCGUGGAUGAUCUGAUAUUUUCCGUGCUUGAUUGCGGAGGUCAAGCUUUGUGAGGCAGUAAGAGUGGAUGUGCCUCAGUGCUUGCAGACGGAUGAGUUGGACUGAUUAUUGGAUCUUGUCCACAUCGCUUUCAAUCGUCUCUGCUGAACACAAAAGCAAUAUUUGCUCUUCAAAAUUACUUUCUCUCGAAUCCCAACAUAACAAAAGCUUGUGUUGAUAAUUCAGCUCCACUGCUCAGUAUGAUGGAUGCUUGUCAGAAAGCAGCUGGAAGACGAUUUCCAAACUUCAUUGUUGUGGAAUUUUACCAGAGAAGUGAUGGAGAAGGAGCUCUAGAGGCUGUCGACCAAGCAAAUGUUUAACUCACUUGUGGGUGUGCCAGCAUAGCGUACUGCAAGGAGGUAAUGCCGACGAACACGAAGGAUCAAGUAACCUGAUGUGUCCAGACGACCACAUGAACUUCUGUUCAGGACUAGCGCACAAUUUGAUUGCAGAUAAAUAACUAGAUAAGAUGGGUUACCUGAACCAUGAAUGGAUUCAGAAGAUUAGUGGAUUAAUAUUCUUUUGACAUUUACUUGAUCAAUAGUCACUUUGGCCACAAAAUUACUCUGUUAUUGUAGUGUACUUCAUCUGAUAUUACGAGGCAAGUUUUGGUUAUAUUUA